rnacentral:rRNA from 1 species
CAGCGAAACUGCGAAUGGCUCAUUAUAUAAGUUCAUCUUGUUAUAUUUGAUAGUGCCUUACUACUUGGAUAACCGUGGUAAUUCUAGAGCUAAUACAUGCUAAAAACCCCGACUUCGGAAGGGGUGUAUUUAUUAGAUACAAAACCAAUGCCCUUCGGGGCUCUUUGGUGAUUCAUGAUAACUAUACGAAUCGCACGGCCUUGCGCCGGCGAUGGUUCAUUCAAAUUUCUUCCCUAUCAACUUUCGAUGUUUGGGUAUUGGCCAAACAUGGUUGCAACGGGUAACGGAGGGUUAGGGCUCGACCCCGGAGAAGGAGCCUGAGAAACGGCUACUACAUCCAAGGAAGGCAGCAGGCGCGCAAAUUACCCAAUCCCGACUCGGGGAGGUAGUGACAAUAAAUACUGAUACAGGGCCCUUUCGGGCCUUGUAAUUGGAAUCAGCACACUUUAAAUCCCUUAACGAGGAACAAUUGGAGGGCAAGUCUGGUGCCAGCAGCCGCGGUAAUUCCAGCUCCAAUAGCGUAUAU